rnacentral:misc_RNA from 1 species
CUACCCCCACAUCAGGACGUUCAUAAAUUCGUCAGAGCCUCCAUAUUCAGCAUUGGAUGUCAAACGAGCGUGGCCACUUCUGUUUGUGAGGGAGCACCUCCUUGAUCACUUCCAUAGGCUUACAGGUGUCUGUCUGGACGGAAAAUUGAGCCUGCCCAAAGAUGUCCUCCUCCUUGUGACAUUCCUACGUUCAAGCCCCAAAAAUGAUGCUGCGCUCGAGUGGAGCCUCAAAAUCAACAAGGCCGAGGCAGAGUUCAAAGAUCAAAACGCAGCAGCUGUCUGCCUCCUCCCAUUGCUUGCAUCCUACUUUCAAGAAAACCUCGGAGAGCUCUUCCAGUUACAUCAGGUGACAACAGAAAUCACAGAGGAGUUUCGUAACAGUCUGCCUGCUUCUCCUGUAAUUGUUGCACUGGGCCGCUCACUUUUCUAAUGCAGCUGCCAGCUGUUUGUGGACCAUGAGGUGAUGGUGGAAGAUGUGGGCUUUCUGCAAGCUGUGGAGCUCCUUUUCGCCCUUUAUUAUUGUUUAAACAUCCAGUAUGCCAAAAGUGCGGGAAUCACACUUGAGUUCAUUCAGAGAUACCAAGUUGGUAUCAAACAACAUGAUGGGUCACGACAGGAGGCCGGGAGGUCGAAAGGAGCUCGGGCAAGAGCAAUCAAAGCCGCCACAGAUCUUGCUGCUUUUGAGAAAAAAUGGAACAGUCUCAUCUGAUGAUCGAUCGGAUGCCAUGAAGGUUUCUUUAUAAUUAUGUUCUUUUACGGUUUACAAUAUAGUUCUUCAAUUUCAAAACUGC